CCUACGGGCGGCAGCAGUGGGGGAUAUUGCACAAUGGGGGCAACCCUGAUGCAGCGACGCCGCGUGUGGGAAGACGGUCCUCUGGAUUGUAAACCACUGUCCCCAGGGACGAAACUGACGGUACCUGGGGAGGAAGCUCCGGCUAACUACGUGCAAGCAGCCGCGGUACUACGUAGGGAGCGAGCGUUGUCCGGAAUUACUGGGUGUAAAGGGAGCGUAGGCGGGACUGCAAGUUGGGUGGCAAAGCUACCGGCUCAACCGGUAGCCGCACUCAGAACUGCAGUUCUUGAGGGCAGUAGAGGCAGGCGGAAGUCCUAGUGUAGCGGUGAAAUGCGUAGAUAUUAGGAAGAACACCAGUUGCGAAGGCAGCCUGCUGGGCUUUUACUGACGCUGAGGCUCGAAAGUGUGGGGAGCAAACAGGAUUAGAUACCCUUGUAGUC
rnacentral:rRNA from 1 species